GUCUGUGCUCUUUUUUAUUUGUAUGGCUGUAAGGUGACCACACAUUUCACUGUACCAAUUGGUACAUGUGACAAAUAAAUGGCUCUUGUAUCUCUUGUAUCUCUUGUAUCUUGUAACUUUCCGGCUUUUCUGUUU